ensembl:lncRNA
UUUUUUUUUUUUUUAGUACAAGGAGAACAGCCAAACUUUGUACAAAAGUUUGGACACAGAACUCUGCAUGAAGGAGAAGAUUUAAUCCUGCAUUGCACUAUACAUGGAAAGCCCAAACCACAUGUCUGCUGGACAAAGGAUGGCAUCCAAGUGGUGUCUGGAGAUAUCAGUAUUGAGAAAUUAGGAGAUAUCUAUUACCUUUUAAAAAGAAAUGUAGUCCUUGCUGAUAGUGGGAAAUAUAUCUGUGUUGCCAGCAACGAAAUUGGAAAGGCACACUGUUCUGCUUUCGUGACAGUGAUAGAGAAAAAUAAACCCCCCUGCACUUCCAGUGUAAGUCAGGCUAAACCAGAAUGUGAAGAUGGGUACUUUUCAGAAGAAGUGAAUGUCACCACAACAGAGCUAGUCCAAGCCCAGGACACACCAUGGGAGCGAGAAGGAAGGCCAGUGGCUAGUUGUACUCCAGUAAGGUUUAAAGAGAAGCUCUGGUUUCAAGGAGUGCAUCUUGAACUUGAAAGGCCUUAAGAAAUUAACUUCAAUUUGAGACAUGAUCCCAUUCUUCUGCCUGAUGCAGUGGAGCAGAAGAUGGACUGAACUGCAAGAUGCCUGAUUCCUGAGCAUGUUUGUGUUGUUUGCUGUGUCCAUUAGUAGGUAUUGGCCAUGGGUGAGGAGCAGAUGAAUUUUGGGUGCUAUCCAAUAUAUAUCUAGAUUCAAAUUUGUCUUUUGUUUCUUUACAAAUAAAUCAUUAUUAAAAUUCA